GACGAACGCUGGCGGCGUGCCUAACACAUGCAAGUCGAGCGGAGUCAGUAAGAGGAAGUUUUCGGAUGGAAUCUUAUUGAUUUAGCGGCGGACGGGUGAGUAACGCGUGAGCGACCAACCUUGCACAGGGGGAUAACGGACCGAAAGGUUCACUAAUACCGCAUAAGACCACGGUGUUGCAUGACACAGAGGUCAAAGGAGCAAUCCGGUGCAAGACGGGCUCGCGUCCGAUUAGGUAGUUGGAGGGGUAACGGCCCACCAAGCCUAUGAUCGGUAGCCGACCUGAGAGGGUGAUCGGCCACAUUGGAACUGAGAUACGGUCCAAACUCCUACGGGAGGCAGCAGUGGGGAAUAUUGGGCAAUGGGGGAAACCCUGACCCAGCAACGCCGCGUGAAGGAAGAAGGUUUUCGGAUUGUAAACUUCUGUCCUUGGUGAAGAGAAGAAGACGGUAGCCAAGGAGGAAGCCCCGGCUAACUACGUGCCAGCCGCCGCGGUAA
rnacentral:rRNA from 1 species